CUCUUCUCGUCUUGCCGUGUUCCCUGUCGGAUCGGCUUGUUCCUGCUGCGCCCGACUGCACGCAAGGCUUCAGUAUUAGCGCUUGAUUGCUGGGCUGAGGCCAAUGGGAUGAAGUUCAACAAGACCAAGUCUGAAAGAUGUGGACCUGGGUGUUUGUUGAGGUUUGGCUAAACCUGAUCCAGCAGCUUGCCUAGUGUGAGAACCUUUCUUUGUCUUCUGUCUCAAAGCUUGCUUCCUGAGGUAUUUCUUGUGAUAAGACUCUAACUGAUUUAUGGAGGUGGCAAAUGAUGGGUGCUACCAUGUGACAAUUAACAUCACUUUGACGUUUGAAAGCACCUUCCUCCAGAGCUGCUUGCCUCUGGAAGAGAGUGCUCAGGAGUGGUUACUGGCAGAAGACCUGGCCUAAUAGCCCCAGCAUGGUGUGGGAAAAUUGGGGAAUGAUAUCAUUGUGUCCUGUGAGAAACAGGAUACAGAUGGGCAUCCCUGUUCCCUCUUAUCUGCUGGCAAGGCCCAGAAGAUGAUAACAAAGGAGUUUCUGCUGAGAUCCCAGAGCCAGUAGCUGCCAGUCCAAGGAGAGCUGACUCAACCACUUUGGAUUUGAGCUGUAACUCAAAAGAGCUGACUCGACCACUUUGGAUUUAUAAAUAAGUUUGUACUAUCAUUGUCGCCGUGGACACUGUUGUCAACAGAAUAACAACACCUGACGACCCACCACUACUGAAGAUCAAUGACUGAACUACGAACCACACUGGACCCAUGGUGGUGAAGGGGACAGUAAGUUCUCUUCUUCAGGUAAAGCUUCUUGGACUUCUCUCUUUGAAAUGUACAUCUCUGAUUCACCAGUAAAUUCCUCAGAAUAGAAUAAAAUAAAAUAGUUCAGUUGAAAGGUACCUUUGAAGAUCGCCUACUCCUACUGUUGGACCUCUUCACGACUAACCAAAAGUUAAAGCAUGUUACUGAGGGCAUUAUUCAAAUGCCUCUUGAAUACUGACAGAAAUGAGGCAUCAAACAGCUCAUUAGAAAACCUGUUCCAGUGUUUGACCACCAUCAUGGUAAAGAAAUAUUUCCUGAUACUGUAAAGAAAAAAAUUGCAUUCUGAAGCUCCCCUGGCGCAGCUUUACAUCAUUCCCUCAUGUUCUGUCAUUGGUGACUGGGGCAGAGACUGACACCUCCCUCUGCACUUUCCCUCCUCAGGGAGUUGCAGAAAACCAGUUGGAAUCUUCUUCUUCAAACUGGACAACCCAAGUGCCAUAAACCUCUCCUCAGAGGACAUGCCCCCCAGUGCUUUUAUCAGCUUUGUUGCUCUCCUCUGAAUGUUUCAAGGGCCUUAACAUGCUUUUUAUAUUGUGGAAAUCACAACUGUACACAGUAUUCGAGGUGAGGCCACACCAACACUAAAUACAGCAGAAUUAUUUUUUUGAGCAACUGGCAAUGCUGUGCUUAAUGCAUCUGAAUGUCCAUUUUGUGAAGAGGCAGCUGAAAAAAAGGGUGACACUGACUCCAAAUAUAACCAUGACACUACUUUAGAACUGUUGGUAAAGGAAAAAAGUAGUUAUAGAUUAAGCCCAAUAUGAUAUUCUAAGCUAUUUUGCUUUAUUUCUGAUUUCCUAUAUUCUUAAUACAAGUAAUGUUCCUUGUUGCUUAAAGAGAGGUAAUUUCAAAGGAAGAGUCAAAAUCUUUAAUUCUCAGAUGUCUAAAUAAAUACUUGAACACAUACUAAGUACAUGUUACUGUAAAGAAAACAAACCAGAUCAUUUCCAAACGGAACAACUCUAAAUGUUUCAAAAUACACCAAGUUUUUCCUAUUUAUCCCAGCCAAAACAAUGUACUGGAUUGUAUCCAUUUUUCAGACUCUACAAUGGUUUUAAGCAUCCUGCAACUCAGUUUCCAGAUAUUUUGCUAUUUAUUGGAAGAAAAGAGAAUCUGAGAAAUGACACAAACUCAUCCAAAAAGAAAUAAAGAAAAUUAACCUUCUUCCAACUCUUUAACUAGGUUUUUAAUCUGAAGUAAGACAAAUUAAUCAGAAUCCUCAGACUGGCUAUCUCAACAGAGAUAAAUGGUACACUUUUGCUCUUCUUGUCUACUAUCAAAUCUUGUACUAGCAAGGGAGCUCUACACCAACCUCAUCAGAUCUGUCAGAUUUAUAAUGCCAUUGUUUGUCUUCAGAGCUCUCUCUACUCCUUCAGAAGUGAAGUUUUGAUUUUACUACAUAAUGACAGACGUACCAAAAUUAAAGGCUGUACAAAUUCAAAAUUUUUAAAGGAGAUUUUAUAAACCUCAAAAUGCACCUUCAUGUCUCAUUGUUAUACCAAAAACAAACAAACAAACAAACAAAAACAAAAAACAAAAAACAAAAAACAAAAAAACAAUCCAGAGCAAGCAGUUCCUGUCUAUUUCCAAAACAGAUUAUACCUUCAGUUUAGCAUGCCAUCCCUCUAAUUUCCUUCUAUUGCAAGUAUCCAAGUAUUGCAAGUAUAUCACAGUGUUUUCCAUAUUGUUGAAGUCUGAUUACAGCAGUGCUAGGGAUACAAGACAGGUAACAUUUAUUGCAUAUUUUAGUAUCUUUUAUUCAGACCAGCUGCAGGUAAAGUAAUCAAGUUCCUGGAGCACAAAGUCUGUUUUCAGUUUUUUAGGUGCUCUGGCUGGAAUAUCUUAGGUUACUUAGAAUCUUUAGUGAAAUCUCUGCAUCUUUCAUAUCAGACAGGGAUAUCUGUGCCUGACAUUGACUCUCAGAAUUUCGUAUGUUACUUAUGCUUUUGAAUCAAAUAGUUUUUCUAGAUAAGAAGAACAAACAGGUUACUACUUUCUCCUACUAAAUCCUAAAAAUGUACCAGCUCCUCUGUGUCUGUGUUACUGUCAUCCUUCUUUAGUUUUAGCUUUGAAAGGAAAGAGCCUUGGUUUUGUGUACUAUUAUAAAACAAUAUUUAUGAUGCAACAAACC
ensembl:lncRNA